UACGUAGGGGGCUAGCGUUGCUCGGAAUCACUGGGCGUAAAGGGUGCGUAGGCGGGUCUUUAAGUCAGGGGUGAAAUCCUGGAGCUCAACUCCAGAACUGCCUUUGAUACUGGCGAUCUCGAGUCCGGGAGAGGUGAGUGGAACUGCGAGUGUAGAGGUGAAAUUCGUAGAUAUUCGCAAGAACACCAGUGGCGAAGGCGGCUCACUGGCCCGGUACUGACGCUGAGGUGCGAAAGCGUGGGGAGCAAACAGGG
rnacentral:rRNA from 1 species